ACCCCAACCCCCCCCGGCCCUGCCACCGGACCAGACUAAAUAAAUAACACUCGUUGUCUCCUUUGCUCUCAGGGCUGGGUUUUCACUUCUCUUGCAUCAGCUUUUGUGUUGUAGAAAAGCCCCGCAUUUCAAGGUGUAGCUCCGGAGAUCGGACUUUCAGGAGGGGGACACAGGUGGGCUUUGGGUACGCGCAUACAGAGCUGGAGCUGCUGCGAAGGAGCAUCUUUCCUUUCCCUUUUGCCUUUUUAAAAAGUGCCGCAUCCAGUCGCACAGCCGUGAAGCCGCACGCUGACGAGCGGUACUCUAAGACGCAGAGAGCACGAGCCACGUGCCACAGGGCGCAAGGAGAGAGGUGUAUUGUGCACUGUCAGCAGGAGCUAAGGGAAGAGACAAGCGGGAUAUCGGCCCCGAUGAUGACUUGGGCCAGAUGAGAGAGAUGAGUAGCGGGCAGCAGGGGGCCUUAUUCUUAGGGUGUGUGGUGUUGGUGCAGUUGUGAGCAGUCCUUUGUCACUUCUGUUUUUAGGUACUCAGUUCUGGAUGCAGCAGACAACUAUUGGAGGCCUGGUGGGCGAGGGGCCGAGUUUGUUUUUUUUUCAGGUGCCAAGUGUGAUUGUUCUUUGCUUCAGCACCCAGACACAGAGCCGUGAAGCCUCAUGCCAACCAGUGGUAUGAUCAAGCUUCAUACAGUGGCCUUGGGAGUCAGAGGGGCGUUUGAGUUCUCCUCCCCAGGAACACCUUGUCCAUAUGCAAGUCUGCACUGACCUCUGGUGUAUGCAUCAAGGAACUGAAGGUGUUCGGAGGGAGGAAGGGGAACUUGGAUAAUCCUUACAGUUGGUGUGAGCCUGGAGAGAAAGUCAACUUGUAAAGGAUGGGAACCUAGCUGAGAGUUCAUUUUCCUCUCGUGAUUGAGAGAUUUAUCAAAGGUUGUUGGUUUGAUGUUGUAUGGGUGGACACACCUUGUAGGAAUUUUCCUAAUUACUUGAGACUCUUGGUAUUGGCUGCAACGGGGCUUUCCAGCUGGAACUGUGAGUCUGGAUGAUGAUUCAGUGGUAAUUGGUGAUGUAUUUCUUCUUUAUCUCUGUUCUUUCUAUGUGGUAAUGAUUUAAUGCAUUUCUAAAGCUCUUCAGUACUUCAAUUAUACAGCUAUAGCUUAGAUUUGCUUUACAGUACUUAUUCCCUAUAGAGAGAUAUAUUUACCUAAUUCUCAUUAAUGUUCUUGAUUUAGAGUGCUUAUUAGCUUUGUGUGCUUGUUUAAUAAACUCUGCAUAUUGUACAGCUAAUGUGUGGUCAUGUUGUGGUGUACCCUGUCUGUCAGCAGAACAAUUUGGCAUAGGCAGCCGGAUAUGAAAUAAAAUGGCAUUUUUUUAGGAUUAAAAAAAAAGGUUUCUAAGACUGUGGAGCUGGAUAUUCCUGGUUGGGAACAAUUACUUUAUCGUAACAUAGCUGCUGAAUGGUUGAGUUCUGGUUUAUGUGAGAAUUGGGACUCACUGUUUGAAUUAGGCAGAACCUCCUGAUGUUGUUAAAUGUUUACAAAAAGUAUCAGUAGAAAAAGGAGAAUAAUAUAUUUCUUUUGAGAAGACAGGAGUGGAUUCUGCUGGCUGCAUAGAGAAAGCAGAGGAGAAAGCGAAAACAGAGGGAGAAGAUGGAUUUGGAAAAACAGUUUUGUUAAUUGCAGGGAAAAAUAAUUAUGUAACAAUGCCAGAAUCGAUUACUAACUGAUAAACUGGACACUUACCAACUGGUAGCAGGAAAGGCGGCGGGUCGGGUUGCACAAUAUAAAUAUAGAACACAAAGAGGUCGAGUAAACAAGCAAAAAGUGGGUGCAGUGAUGGCGGAGGCAGGAAGGAAUGAGGACCAUGAUAAGUGGGAUGGAGAUAUGUGGGAUAGUAGUUCAGAGGGUGAGGUGUCUUUUGAAGCAAAGACAAUAUUAUGGAGAAAAUCGGAACACGACUCUAGGUCGUCUGGGUUUAGGCGGGACGUUUUAGAUGAUUUCACUCAUCACGAAAGAAAUGACAUUAUGGACAGGUUCAAACAAAAGUCUGGAGAAUAUUUGUUUUAUUGGAUCAUCAGGUUGCAUGAUUUAGGGGCUUCGGAAGUUAAAUUGAUGCAUGCGAUGCUAAAAAAAGCAGCAACAAAGACAGAAGCAGAUAUACAACCAGAAGAGGAAGAUAGAGAGCACGAAGGACAAGCAGAAGAAGCAGCAGAAGAAGGUAAAAAAAAGCACACUGAUGGCCCAUAAGCAGAAGGCAGGAACCUAUAAAAAAAGGAAGCAGAAAAAGAAACAAAAGCAGCAAAAGAUGACAGAAAAGGAGAAGAAAAUACAGAAGUAGACAUUGAAGCAGAAGAAAAUGCAGGAAAAGCAGAAGCAGCAGUAGGAAGAGACUAGAAACAGUACACUCAGAAGAAUCACGGAAAAUACAUGAGCAUAAUUGGACGAGAGAGAGGCCUAAGGAGAAGCAGAAGAUACAGGUGCUUCAUUUGUGGAAAUUUCACCUAGCACCCAGUGCUGCAAUAAACAAGUGCCUGCCUCUUAAUGCUACCUUGGUGUUAAGGAGUUUUAUUCUCCUGCCUUUUGGUGACAAUUUUUGGUGACCCAGAUGGGACCUUGCGAGUGAGACUGGAAGAGAUGGAGUGCCGCUCAAACCCCAGCCGGCACCGAGGAAUUCUCGGGGAGGAACAUCGCCCUUGACUUUGAAAGCUCCUUGCAACGUUCCCUGGAAUAAAAAAAAAGGUGGGAAAAUCCACGAACAGGAUGAGAAACAUGGACCAGACUGCCACAAGGAUUCAAAAAUAGUCUGAUGAGCUUUGAUUACUAGUUGGCAAAAGAGCUGGAACGGUGGAAAUGGAGAGAUACGGAACCUAAACCUGGACAUCUGCUUCUACAAGACGUGGAUGACAUCUUGAUUGCUACGAAAGAGAGAGUGACCUGUAUGAAGGCCUCGGUGUUUGGAGAACCCAGUACAUGAUUUCCAACCAGGAGAUUAUGUCUUCAUGAAGACAUGGACUUCUGAACCUCUUCAAGAAUGCUAGAAAGGACCUUUUUAAGUAAUGUUGACUACCUUCAUCGCCAUCAAGAGAACUGAAUCAGAAGCAUGGAUAUGCACUAGGGUGAAGAAAGCACUAUCAUCAUGAAAAAUUGUCAACAGGGAUGAUAAGACCUCAAAAUUGACUCUGAAAUAUGUGUAAUUUUGUGUGUCCUUUUCAAAUGUGUAAUUGUUAUACCACUGAUAUGGCGAUCCAAGCUAUUUCUCCUUUAGCUGCUGCUUUAAAAUAUGAAUGUUUGUGUAGAGGUCUUAGGAAUAACCUCGAAUUGACUCAGACAUGCAUAUGCAGAAGGAGAACACUAUUUAGUUGCUAAAGAUCAGCAUUCCGGAGCCAAGGACACUUAGUGUGAACAAUGAGUGAUGGGACCUGGACAACUCAUUUACCUCUAGAUGGUAAAGUAGGAAAAAUAACAUUAGGCAUACCAACUCUGUACAAUCUGGAAAAGAACUCCUUUUAGAGGAGCAUUAGAACAUGUAAAAUUAGAAAGGGUGAAGAGGUCAGAAACAGAUGAAGAAUGGAAUGAACCUUCGACUGGAAUGAAAGUUGGCUGGGCUUUGUAGUCUUUGCUGACUCCUUUAGCAAUAUAGAGGAACAGGGAAUGUAUAUAUCAAUUAACAAGACAAGUAGAAAAAUGAGCAAAUGCAAGCAGGAAAGGAUUUAAGGAUUUGAAUAUAAAAUUACAGGCAAAUUCAAGGAUGACUUUACAAAACAGAAUAGCUUUGGAUAUGCUCUUACUUAAAGAGCAUGGAAUUGUGGAUACUUGAAAGGUAGAAUUGAUCAUUGUUGUCCACACAUUCAGAAUGUGACUCAAGAUGUGGAGCAUGACUUAGACUUAUUGGAAAAGGUAGAACAGAAUAAUCAAAAGAUUCAACUAGACAAGAAAGUUGGAUAGAUAAAAUCUUCAAGGGAGUAGAAUGGAAUUUGUGUUCACGGAUGAAAUCACUGAUUAGCACUGCGAUAGUCUUGAUAAUUUUUCUAACGAUUAUUUUGAUCUAUUAUUAUUUAAGAAGACAAAUAAACAAGACUGCAUUCAGUCGAAUGAUCAUCCAAGCAGUGGCUAGACAACAAGAUGAACAAUAAUCAAUUCCAAAGGCUCCCACUAACAUAUAAUUACUCCCACAAAACAGUAAUAAAAAAAAAAAUCUUAAAGUAAUGAAAUUAUUUUCAAAGCUUUCAAAGGGGUGAAAUGUUGCAGAUUGUUUUAAGAUUUAUUGAAUCUUUCUAUAUUUUGUUUGAUGAUGAAGCCGUUAUGUAUAAGAACAUCUAGAUUUAAAAAUUUAGCCUCUAUGUUAGCACGUGCUAUGCUAGCCAUGCUAUGUUAGCACGGGAUGCUGUGUUAGAAAUUAGAUGCUGUGUUGCUUGACAUCUGUGUUCUCUGUGACAUGUCCUUACUCUCUAGAGCAUAACCAAAGCAUGAUGAUUUAAGCUAAAGCCAGAUGAUUGAAUAUUGUAACCACUGGGUUUUGUAUGCUUUAGAGGAUAAGGAAAAGUGGCCAAAAAAUGGAGCUUUCAGUUGUAAUAAUAUUUUGCAGUUAAUAUUGUUUUAUAGAAGAGGAGGUUAAAUCGAUGUCAAAAACAGGUGUUUAUAAC